rnacentral:rRNA from 1 species
CGGGGUCUCGGUUAAUGAGAUUGUGCUUACUGCACUUUUCUUAUCUACACACGUGUUUUUGUUUUAUUCUUAAAACUUGCUUUGGCAGUGGCUGCUUAAUUGCUCUGCUGCCAGAGGAUAAACUCAACCUAAAUUUUUUAUUUUAAACUAGUCAACUGAUUAUAUUUAUUAAUAGUCAAAACUUUCAACAACGGAUCUCUUGGUUCUCGCAUCGAUGAAGAACGCAGCGAAAUGCGAUAAGUAAUAUGAAUUGCAGAUAUUCGUGAAUCAUCGAAUCUUUGAACGCACAUUGCGCCCUCUGGUAUUCCGGAGGGCAUGCCUGUUUGAGCGUCAUUUCUCCCUCAAACCCCCGGGUUUGGUGAUGAGCAAUACGCCAGGUUUGCUUGAAAGUUAGGAGGAGUAUUUAUAACAAUGUAUUAGGUCUAACCACUCCAUUGUGCUUAAUAAAAGCUCCAAUCUAUAUUUCAAACUUCGACCUCAAAUCAGGUAGGAUUACCCGCUGAACUUAAGCAUAUCAAUAAGCCGGAGGAA